GACGAACGCCGGCGGCGUGCUUAACACAUGCAAGUCGAACGGAAAGGCCCUGCUUUUGUGGGGUGCUCGAGUGGCGAACGGGUGAGUAACACGUGAGUAACCUGCCCUUGACUUUGGGAUAACUUCAGGAAACUGGGGCUAAUACCGGAUAGGAGCUCCUGCCGCAUGGUGGGGGUUGGAAAGUUUCGGCGGUUGGGGAUGGACUCGCGGCUUAUCAGCUUGUUGGUGGGGUAGUGGCUUACCAAGGCUUUGACGGGUAGCCGGCCUGAGAGGGUGACCGGCCACAUUGGGACUGAGAUACGGCCCAGACUCCUACGGGAGGCAGCAGUGGGGAAUAUUGCACAAUGGGCGGAAGCCUGAUGCAGCAACGCCGCGUGCGGGAUGACGGCCUUCGGGUUGUAAACCGCUUUCGCCUGUGACGAAGCGUGAGUGACGGUAAUGGGUAAAGAAGCACCGGCUAACUACGUG
rnacentral:rRNA from 1 species